GACGAACGCUGGCGGCGUGCCUAAUACAUGCAAGUAGAACGCAGUUGCGAACGGGUGAGUAACGCGUAGGUAACUGCCUCAUAGCGGGGGAUAACUAUUGGAAACGAUAGCUAAUACCGCAUACUGUGAGAUGGACCUGCUUUGUAUUAGCUCGUUGGUGAGGGAAAGGCGCGCCAAGGCGACGAUACAUAGCCGACCUGUGCGGGUGUGCGGCCACACUGUGACGGAGACACGGCCCAGACGCCUACGGGAGGCAGCAGUAGGGAAUCUUCGGCAAUGGACGGAAGGCUGACCGAGCAACGCCGCGUGAGUGAAGAAGGUUUUCGGAUCGGAAAGCUCUGUGGUCAGGGAAUCGGUAACUAACCAGAAAGGCACGGCUAACUACGUGCCAGCAGCCGCGGUAAUAC
rnacentral:rRNA from 1 species